rnacentral:rRNA from 1 species
UUAAUUGAAGAGUUUGAUCAUGGCUCAGAUUGAACGCUGGCGGCAGGCCUAACACAUGCAAGUCGAGCGGUAACAGAAAGUAGCUUGCUACUUUGCUGACGAGCGGCGGACGGGUGAGUAAUGCCUAGGGAUCUGCCCAGUCGAGGGGGAUAACAGUUGGAAACGACUGCUAAUACCGCAUACGCCCUACGGGGGAAAGGAGGGGACCUUCGGGCCUUUCGCGAUUGGAUGAACCUAGGUGGGAUUAGCUAGUUGGUGAGGUAAUGGCUCACCAAGGCGACGAUCCCUAGCUGGUCUGAGAGGAUGAUCAGCCACACUGGAACUGAGACACGGUCCAGACUCCUACGGGAGGCAGCAGUGGGGAAUAUUGCACAAUGGGCGAAAGCCUGAUGCAGCCAUGCCGCGUGUAUGAAGAAGGCCUUCGGGUUGUAAAGUACUUUCAGUAGGGAGGAAAGGUAGCAGCUUAAUACGUUGUUACUGUGACGUUACC